GUGUUCACUUCAGCAGCACAUAUACUAAGAUGGAAGUGUUACAAAGAAGAAUAGCAUGACCCCUGUGCAGUAGUAAAUGUCUGAGGUGAUGGUAUACCGAUUAUC
rnacentral:snRNA from 1 species